rnacentral:lncRNA from 1 species
CGAAAAAGGAAAAGGAGAGAGAGAGCAAACAGGAGAAUGAGGGUGCUUUGUUUUGGAACUUUCCAGUUCUGUGGGGGAAAAUUAGCAUGAGGCUGGUUGCCUGACCUGCAGCACCGCUUUAUGCGCAUGAGUAAUUAUUAUUUUUGCUAUUAUUUCUCUUUUGUCUCCCUGGACGACUAAAAAGGCGCUGCGUAAGCAGUAAACCCCGGGAUAAGGUCUAUAACGUGGUCCAAAGAACAGAUUUUCAGUCCCGGGGGUUGAAGGUAAACUCCGGAAAGCAGAGCCACAUUGAGCUGUUGCCACAGCAUGCGAGAACCGAAGGACCUCCGUGGGUCACCUCGGGACUGGAGGCCAAGGAAACGCAGCGUUGGAUGCUGGGGCGGGGCAUCAAGGCCAGACUUGGUUCCUUAAACUUUGACUUGAGUCUAAGUGCUGGCGAAGGAGCACUCGAUCCCAAAAUACCGGGGCUUGGAGUUGUGCAGAUGGCGCUCCGCUGGGGCAUCGUGUCCGUCGGCCUCAUCUCCAGCGACUUCACCACUGUGCCGGGCCCGCUGCCCCGCUCCGACCACCAGGUCUGCUCCCCUCCGGGUCCUGGGGGAACGGGCUCCUGGGUCCGGGUAGCGAGGAUCCUACACCACGGCUGUUUCCCCGCUCCCUCCUUUUCUUCUCCACCUCAGUCCUGUAGCCCUAGCCCUGGAGGGUCGGAGGGUCUUAUCCUCCGGCCGGCCGCACCUGCUCCAGCCCCGUGAGUCUGAUCCCGGCGUCCUCCGGGUGGUGGCGGUAGCGGCCCGCGAGCUGAGCCGGGCGCAGGGGUUUGCGCGGAAACACGGCGUCCCCAAGGCGUACGGCUCCCCUGAGGAGCUGGCCAAGGGCCCGAAUGUGGGUGAGUGGCGAGGGUGGCCGGCGCGUCGGCUCCGGGCUGCCCCGUAGGAAACGUGAGGCUCCCCGGGCUAGGGGCCCGCCCGAGGGGCACGAACGGAUUUGAUCUGUCGCGAUAUUCAAUCGAGUCAACCUUCCGCAUCCUUGUGCUUGCGAGGCAGGCGGUAGAACCACUGAACUAAAUCCUCGGCCCAAGUAACACUAUCUUAACAGAGUGGUGCUGCAAGAAAGAAGUUUGAGGUGUACUUCAUACUUAGAGUAUCAGGGAUCGAACACGGGACCUUGUGCUUGCAAGGCAGGCAUGGCGCCACUGAGCUAAGUCAUCUUCUACCUUAGAAGUGGCCUAUAUUGGCACUCAGCACCCUCAGCACAAGGCUUCGGUGCUGAUGUCUCUGGCAGUAGGCAAGGCUGUCCUGUGUGAGAAGCCCAUGGGUAUGAACGCUCCAGAAGUUCGCAAGAUGGUCUCAGAGGCCCAAACCCAAGGUCUCUUCCUUAUGGAGGUGAGGGCCUCAACCAACAUUCACUGUAGCACUGCUUGCCAUUACUAAACAUGGCCACCAGCAGACGUUUUUGGAGAACCAAGGCAUCUUCCACAGUCGAGAUGGCCACAGGAAUGGAGCAGGGUCAGUUGGGGGUAUAGUUGAAUGUACUGGCCACACCCAUUGAGAGCACAAACCAAAGUUCAGUGCUUGCCACUCUAACAGGCCAUGACUCAAAGACAAGUUGUUGAGGCAAAGAGAAAGAGUUGUUUGGAAAGCUAGCAAACUAAAGAAGAUGGAAGCUGACAUCAACCAAGACCAUCUUGUUUAGAGGUUGCAGGGAAAAGGCUUAUCUAGGGAGUUUUGUGGAAGUAGAUCCCAGUAGGAGGGCACCAAGGUAUUUCCAAAUUCCAGAGUAGUUACAGAUUAUGGGGUCUGCUGUUUUGUGUAGGUAACUGGAUGCUCUGGGUUCUGUAAAUCUAAAGAAAGUUACUGACCCAUAAGCACAGCAUUUAGGGAGGCUGAGAUGGGGGAUCAAGUCCUGCCCAGGCAACACAACAAGACUCUGUCUUAAAUUUGUAAGAAGAGUAGGGUUGGGUGUAACUCCAUUGGAGAGAGCCCCUGGUCAAUCCCUACCACAAGGAAGAACAGAGAAAGGAAAGGAGAGAGGGAGGAAGAAAGAAAGGGAGGGAAAAAGAAAGGGAGAAAGGAGGAAAGAAAAAAGAAAUUGAGUAGGAAGUCUCACGGCUCGUCUUUUUAGUUCCUUUUCUGAGGACUAGCUAAUUCUCCAGUGUACCUGGAUAUCAAAGGUAUCCUUUCCAUGGGGAAGAGGGGAAGAUAGCAAAAGGCAACUUUUCUCUGGAAGACCAGGGAAGAUAAAGAAAAGCAAUUUUUCCCGAGGACGGAGGACGGAGGAGUCACAUUCCCUGGAGAAGUUUUUAACCCAUUGUGUAGAGUGUGUCACCACAGCAAAGCUAAAACUAAUAGUGUAUCUUCCAGCUGUGUGACUCCUAAAAUCAGUGAUGGUUUGUUUGUUUUUUGAGACAAAAUCUCACUAUACGGUUUAGGCUGGUCUUGAACUCAUAGUGAUCCACCUGCCUCAGUGCCAUGCCCAGUAAAAUUAGUGAUUGGGGGGUGGGUGUUUUUUGGGGAGGUUUUUUGGUACCAGGUACUGAACUCGGGACCUUGCCCUUUCGAGGCAGGCAGCAGAACCACUGAGCUAAAUUCCCAGCCGAUUUUUUUUUUUUUUUUAAACCCAGGGACUUAGCUCAGUGGUUCCGCCACCUGCCUCAAAAGUGCAAGGUCCUGAGUUCUAUCUCUGGUACCAAAAAAAAUAAAAAAUAAAAGAGCCGUCCUUGUAACACGAUCACUGUGGAAUCCAUUGCAUUAAGCCCUCAGCAAACAUGGCAGGUCUGGCUUGGUUGUGUGGAUCCUUUUUCAGCUGUUGAGAAUGGGCUUAGUUCUGGUCCCUUUCCAGGGAUCAAGAUCAGAAGGAUUAAGGAAUCUCCUUCCAUCCUCAACAUCAAGCAGUCUUUGCUUUGCCUAACCAAAGAGUCCAAGAAAUUCCAGUACUUAGAUUAUGAUCCAGUGUCAGUGGACAGUGCCAGUAGUUAAAAUGGCCACCAAAUGGCACCUGUUAGCUAUUUCCAUGCUGAGAAGUAUUAUGGCCCUAAACACCUUGCUGUAGAUUCUGCCAGUAGUAGCAAUGGCUGCCAUGUACUUCCCCAGUGGCCUGUCUAGGUGUUGCAAGCCCAAGACACAGCUAGCCAAGUUUCAUGUAUCCAAGAGGUAUUUGGCCCAGAUUUUUUUUUUUUGGAGGGUACCAGGGGACCUUGCACUUGCUAAGCAGGCAGCAGAAGCACUGAGCUAAAUCCCUGGCCCAGAUGGCCCAGAUUUAAUGUGGCUACUGUAUAUGCCUCCUCACUGUCCCUUGCUGGUGUCAACAUUGUGCAAGUUUAUUACUUCAUCAUUUUUAUUGGUGCUUUCUAAUCCUGUAAUAGAAAGAGAGGACUUUAAACUAGGGAGAGUCACCUGGCAGGGAUUUAGGAAUGGUUCAUAAACGGCGCAGACAUAACUUGCCUAGUAAAUGAGCCCAAUAGCUGGGAGCUGCUGUUAGGCCAUGGGGAGCAUAGAAAGGUACUGAGCAGGGGUUAGACAGUCAGCUCUCAGGGAAGGAAAGAUUUCUGUGGACCAUCUGAAGGGUGGACAGCAGGGAAGAGGCUGAGUGUAUUAAUGUUCUGAGCCAAGCACAACGAAGUGCCAAGGACUAAGUGAUUUAAAUAACAUCAAUGUAGCCAGAUGUAGAGGUGCAUAUCUGUAAUUCCAGCACUGGGGAGGCUGAGGCAGGAGGAUUGCUUUGAGUUCGAGGCCAGCCUGGGCUACAUGCGAAAAUAAAUAAAAGGAAUGUACUGGUGUCAGAUGCCUGUGAUCCCAGCACUCGGGAGGCUGAGUCAGGAGGAUUGCCGUAUGGUCAAGUCCAGCCUGAGUUAUGGAAAUCCUGUCUCAAAUUCAAAAAUAAAACCAAACCAAACCAACAAAACUACACCUAUGAAAGUGUAAGAAGCACAACUCAAACUGGCCUGGACAGAGGGUGAGACACCCCCACUCCCACCCCCGCCAACUCUGACCUCUGGUUUCCAGCCAGAAAGUUUUCUUUGUCCCUGUUGCCUUCCAUGGUGCUGGUUUCAUAGUUGAAGACACUGUUAAGGGCAGCUGUGACAUGGAGCCAAACAGCCCAAGUGACCUCAGGCAGGGAACAGAGUGGGUAGCAGUGGACCAGAAGCCAGGUCCUAAGUCAAGAGCAACCAGCGACACCUACGCCUUGGUUCUCCGUGUCUUCAAUGACAGAUUUCUAAGAAGAUUUGUGAGCUUGGAAUAGCACAGAGGCAAAGUUUAUUGCAAAAUGGUGGAUUUGCAGAGAGAGAGAAAAGGCCUGAAGAUGGCCAAGCCCAAGGUAGCAGCUGCCCCAACUAAGGCUCAGGCUCCAUUUCUUUGAUUAACCGGGUCCUCUGGGGAACAUCCUUUCCCUCCUCUGAGGUCAUUGUUCCAUGUUGUCAUUGUCAAACAUGAUUUUUCUGCCUCAGCGCCCCCAGUGCUGGGAUUUAUAGGUGUGCGCCACCACACCUGGCUUCAAACCUCUUUUUGUUAAUUUUUUUUUUUUGAGGGGAGUUGAGAUAAGGUCUCACUAUUGUGGCUCAGGCUGGUCUUGAACUCAUAGCAAUCCUCCUGCCUCAGCCUCCCAAGUGCUGAGAUUACAAGAAUAAGCCACAAUGCCUGGGGCUUCAAGCCUCUUUUAUAGGGGUACUAAAGCCUUUCCUGUGGGUCAAGCCUUGAUGACCUACUCACCUCCUAAAAGGACAUGAAUUUGGGGAGUAAUACACGGUCAGGCCAUAGCAAAUGGCAUAGGAGUCAGCCUAAGCACACUGGCUUCUCACUAGAUGUUAGCUGCUGGCCAUUCACUUGGAGGCCCUGCCUUGCCUGUAUUAGCCUCCCCAGCCCCAGACCCUUAUCUGUCUCGCCAGGGAGGGAGGGGAGGGGCUUUGUCCUCACCACCCUCUAGCCAAGGUUAUGAGUGCAGCUCUUUCGGCAAGGUCAGAGCUUGAGCUCUGCCCUUCCCAAUUUAAGGCCAAUGAAGGAGGCCACAGGAGGCUUGGCCCACUGAUAAGGUCAGUGCCUCACUCUAAGCAAGACUUGCUUUCAUUUCUUUUGGAGCAGCAAGUAUAGCCCCUGUAUGACCCACUCCUUGUGAGUGGCCGGGACCUACUGACCUUUUUUUUUCAGUAUGGGGGAUUGAAUUCAGGGCCUUUGCAGUGAACUACAUCCUUGCCCUUUUUAAAAUUUUUUUGUUGUUGUUAAAUUCUUUUAUUGGUACAUUUUAGGUAUACAACACAAUUACAUUUCUUUUUUUUUUUUUUUUUUGUACUGGGGAUCGAACUUGGUUCCUUGCGCUUGCGCAGCAGGCGGUGAAACCACUGAGCUAAAUCCCCGGCCCUACAAUUACAGUUCUCAUUGGGAAUUGUACCUUUACAUAAUGCAUCUUGGUUCUUAUUUUUUCCCCAUUCCUAGCCCUCCCUUCACGCCCUCCACCCUUCCCUAUUUACAAAGAAUUUAUUUCCAUUUUUUCCAUUUCUCAUCAUUUUUCCUUUCCAUCUUUCCUUCCCCCUGCCCCUCCCACUACCCCUACCCCUUUGGACCUUUUCUUCCUAUUUUGCAUUAUCAAUUAUUCAUUCUAGUCAUUGGUACGUUUUAGGUAUACAAUAUAAUGACAUUCAUCGAUUGAAAUUUGCACCUUUACAUAGUCUCUCUUGGUUCUUAUUUUUCACCCUUGCCCAGCCCUCCCUUCAACCCCUCCAUUCCUCCCUAUUUACAAGAUUUUGUUCCUAGUUUUCCAUUUUCUCAUAUUAAUCCCAUUCCCUUCUAUCCUUUCCCCUAGCCCUCCCACUUUCUUCCCCUUUGUCCCUUUUCUUCCUAUUUCACAUUACCUAUUAUACAUUUCAGUCCUUAUUUACACUUUCAGUUUCUCACACCAGAGAAACUAUUUGGUAUUUAUACAUGUGUGUCCUAUGUAUUUCACUUAAGAGUAUGGCCUCAAUGUGCAUCCACUUAGCUAUAAAUGUCUCUAAUUUCUCAUUUUUUAUGGCUUAGUAGUACUCCAUUUUA